rfam:Brachypodium distachyon strain Bd21 chromosome 4, whole genome shotgun sequence.
AUGAUACUCACUCCGUCCAACAAAAGAUGUCUUAAGUUUAUCAAAAUUUGAAUGUAUCUAGACAUGACUUAGUGUAUAGAUGCAUUCAAAUUUAGUCAAACUUGAAUGUCUGGAUAUAUCCAAAUUUUAACAAACUUGAGACAUCUUUUGUUGGACGGAGGGAGUAAAAG